GGAGAGAUGGCCGAGUGGCUGAAGGCGCUCCCCUGCUAAGGGAGUAUAGGGGUUAAACUCUAUCGAGGGUUCGAAUCCCUCUCUCUCCGCCA
rnacentral:tRNA from 1 species